rnacentral:pre_miRNA from 1 species
AGUGCAAUUGCUAGAUAAAAUGCUGUUAUAUUUAGUUUUGUAAGAAAUUGUCGAAUUAUCUUUUAAAGUGACUAUACUAUUUUCUAUUCCCACCAGCACU